rnacentral:rRNA from 1 species
GACGAACGCUGGCGGCGUGCCUAAUACAUGCAAGUCGAACGCAGUGGGGACGGGUGAGUAACAAGUGGGUAACCUCCCAUCAGAGGGGAUAACACUUGGAAACAGGUGCUAAACUGAUACUGAUGGAUGGACCCGCGGGGGAUUAGCUAGUUGGUGAGGUAACGGCUCACCAAGGCCACGAUGCUUAGCCGACCUGAGAGGGUGAUCAGCCACCCUGGAACUGAGACACGGCCCAGACUCCUACGGGAGGCAGCAGUGGGGAAUCUUGGGCAAGGGGCGAAAGUCUGACGGAGCAACGCCGCGUGAGUGAAGAAGGUUUUCGGGUCGUAAAGCACUGUUGGUAGGGAAGCGGUAUUUAACCAGAAAGCCACGGCUAACUCCGUGCCAGCAGCCGCGGUAAUAC